AUUGAACGCUGGCGGCAGGCCUAACACAUGCAAGUCGAACGAGUGGCGGACGGGUGAGGAAUAUAUGGGAAACUGCCCGGUGGAGGGGGAUAACUUCUGGAAACUGUCGCUAAUACCGCAUACCCUUGGAUGUGCCGAUGUGGGAUUAGCUAGUUGGCGGGGUAAAGGCCCACCAAGGCGACGAUCCGUAGCUGGUCUGAGAGGAUGAUCAGCCACACUGGAACUGAGACACGGUCCAGACUCCUACGGGAGGCAGCAGUGGGGAAUAUUGGACAAUGGGCGCAAGCCUGAUCCAGCCAUACCGCGUGUGUGAAGAAGGCCUUCGGGUUGUAAAGCCCUUUUGGUGGGAAAGCGGUACCCAAAGAAUAAGCACCGGCUAACUCCGUGCCAGCCGCCGCGGUAAUAC
rnacentral:rRNA from 1 species